AAAUUCCUUCGGGAAUGAGUAGAGUGGCGGACGGGUGAGUAACGCGUGGGAAUCUACCUGGUAGCGGGGGAUAACUCGGGGAAACUCGAGCUAAUACCGCAUACGCCCUACGGGGGAAGGGAGGGGAUCUUCGGACCUUUCACUAUCAGAUGAGCCCGCGUUAGAUUAGCUUGUUGGUGAGGUAAUGGCUCACCAAGGCGACGAUCUAUAGCUGGUCUGAGAGGAUGAUCAGCCACACUGGGACUGAGACACGGCCCAGACUCCUACGGGAGGCAGCAGUGGGGAAUAUUGCGCAAUGGGCGAAAGCCUGACGCAGCCAUGCCGCGUGUGUGAAGAAGGCCUUCGGGUUGUAAAGCACUUUCAAUAGGGAGGAAAACUUGUAGGUUAAUACCCUGCAAGCCUGACGUUACCUAUAGAAGAAGCACCGGCUAACUCCGUGCCAGCAGCCGCGGUAAUACGGAGGGUGCGAGCGUUAAUCGGAAUUACUGGGCGUAAAGCGCGCGUAGGCGGCUUCGUCAGUCAGAUGUGAAAGCCCCGGGCUCAACCUGGGAACUGCAUUUGAUACUGCGGAGCUAGAGUAUGGUAGAGGAUAGUGGAAUUCCAGGUGUAGCGGUGAAAUGCGUAGAUAUCUGGAGGAACAUCAGUGGCGA
rnacentral:rRNA from 1 species